rnacentral:rRNA from 1 species
GAUGAACGCUGGCGGCGUGCCUAAUACAUGCAAGUCGAGCGAACAGAUGAGGAGCUUGCUCCUCUGACGUUAGCGGCGGACGGGUGAGUAACACGCGGAUAACCUACCUAUAAGACUGGGAUAACUUCGGGAAACCGGAGCUAAUACCGGAUAAUAUAUUGAACCGCAUGGUUCAAUAGUGAAAGACGGUUUUGCUGUCACUUAUAGAUGGAUCCGCGCCGCAUUAGCUAGUUGGUAAGGUAACGGCUUACCAAGGCAACGAUGCGUAGCCGACCUGAGAGGGUGAUCGGCCACACUGGAACUGAGACACGGUCCAGACUCCUACGGGAGGCAGCAGUAGGGAAUCUUCCGCAAUGGGCGAAAGCCUGACGGAGCAACGCCGCGUGAGUGAUGAAGGUCUUCGGAUCGUAAAACUCUGUUAUUAGGGAAGAACAAAUGUGUAAGUAACUAUGCACGUCUUGACAGUACCUAAUCAGAAAGCCACGGCUAACUACGUG